GGCUUGUUUUAAGUUGCCUGUG
rnacentral:miRNA from 1 species